rnacentral:rRNA from 1 species
UCUAGUGGCGAACGGGUGAGUAACACGUGGGUAACCUGCCCAUCAGAGGGGGAUAACAUCCGGAAACGGAUGCUAAAACCGCAUAGGUCUUCGAGCCGCAUGGCUUGAAGAGGAAAAGAGGCGCAAGCUUCUGCUGAUGGAUGGACCCGCGGUGCAUUAGCUAGUUGGUGAGGUAACGGCUCACCAAGGCAGUGAUGCAUAGCCGACCUGAGAGGGUGAUCGGCCACAUUGGGACUGAGACACGGCCCAAACUCCUACGGGAGGCAGCAGUAGGGAAUCUUCCGCAAUGGACGCAAGUCUGACGGAGCAACGCCGCGUGAGUGAAGAAGGUUUUCGGAUCGUAAAACUCUGUUGUUAGAGAAGAACAAGUGCUAGAGUAACUGUUAGCGCCUUGACGGUAUCUAACCAGAAAGCCACGGCUAACUACGUGCCAGCAGCCGCGGUAAUACGUAGGUGGCAAGCGUUGUCCGGAUUUAUUGGGCGUAAAGCGAGCGCAGGCGGUUCCUUAAGUCUGAUGUGAAAGCCCUCGGCUCAACCGGGGAGGGUCAUUGGAAACUGGGGAACUUGAGUGCAGAAGAGGAGAGUGGAAUUCCAUGUGUAGCGGUGAAAUGCGUAGAUAUAUGGAGGAACACCAGUGGCGAAGGCGACUCUCUGGUCUGU